GACGAACGCUGGCGGCGUGCUUAACACAUGCAAGUCGAACGGAAAGGCCCUGCUUUUGUGGGGUGCUCGAGUGGCGAACGGGUGAGUAACACGUGAGUAACCUGCCCUUGACUUUGGGAUAACUUCAGGAAACUGGGGCUAAUACCGGAUAGGAGCUCCUGCUGCAUGGUGGGGGUUGGAAAGUUUCGGCGGUUGGGGAUGGACUCGCGGCUUAUCAGCUUGUUGGUGGGGUAGUGGCUUACAAAGGCUUUGACGGGUAGCCGGCCUGGGAGGGUGACCGGCCACCUUGGGACUGAGAUACGGCCCAGACUCCUACGGUAGGCAGCAGUGGGGAAUAUUGCACAAUGGGCGGAAGCCUGAUGCAGCAACGCCGCGUGCGUGAUGCCGGCCUUCGGGUUGUAAACCGCUUUCGCCUGUGACGAAGCGGGAGUGACGGUAAUGGGUAAAGAAGCACCGGCUAACUACGUG
rnacentral:rRNA from 1 species